GACAGAAAAUGCAAACGUUGUUCGGAAUUACUAAGCGUAAAACGCGUGUAAGCAGCCCUGCAAGUCGGAUGUGAAAUCCCACGGCUCAACCAUGGAAGUGCAUUCAAAACUGCAGAGCUAGAGUCCUGGAAAGAAAGGUGGAAUGCUUGAUGUAGAAGUGAAAUUCGUAGAUAUCAAACGAAACACCGGUGGCGAAGGCAGCCUUCUGGACAGUGACUGACGCUGAGACGCAAAAGCGUAAGAAGCAAACAGG
rnacentral:rRNA from 1 species